UACGGAGGUGGCAAGCGUUGCUCGGAAUCACUGGGCGUAAAGGGCGCGUAGGCGGGGAGGUAAGUCGAGUGUGAAAUCCCUCGGCCCAACUGAGGAACUGCGCCCGAGACUGCUUCUCUUGAGUCCCGGAGAGGAAGGUGGAAUUCACGGUGUAGCGGUGAAAUGUGUAGAGAUCGGGAGGAACACCGGUGGCGAAGGCGGACUUCUGGACGGUGACUGACGCUGAGGCGCGAAAGCGUGGGGAGCAAACGGG
rnacentral:rRNA from 1 species